GCUGGGCAUGGUGGCUCACACCUGUAAUCCCAGCACCUUGGGAGGCUGAGGAAGGAGGAUCUUGAGUUCAAAGUGAGCCUCAGCAAUGGAGAGGCCCUAAGUAACUCAGUGAGACCCUGUCUCUA
rnacentral:sRNA from 1 species